rnacentral:rRNA from 1 species
UACGUAGGCAGCAAGCGUUGUUCGGAGUUACUGGGCGUAAAGAGUGCGUAGGUGGUGCCCUAAGUCUGUUGUGAAAUCUCCCGGCUUAACUGGGAGGGUGCGGCGGAAACUGGAGUGCUCGAGGAUGGGAGAGGCGAGUGGAAUUCCUGGUGUAGCGGUGGAAUGCGCAGAUAUCAGGAGGAACACCAAUAGCGAAGGCAGCUCGCUGGGACGUUACUGACACUAAGGCGCGAAAGCGUGGGGAGCGAACAGG